UACGUAGGGGGCAAGCGUUGUCCGGAAUUAUUGGGCGUAAAGCGCGCGCAGGCGGCCUUGUAAGUCUGUCGUUUAAACUCGGAGCUCAACUUCGAGUCGCGAUGGAAACUGCAAAGCUUGAGUGCAGAAGAGGAAAGUGGAAUUCCACGUGUAGCGGUGAAAUGCGUAGAGAUGUGGAGGAACACCAGUGGCGAAGGCGACUUUCUGGGCUGUAACUGACGCUGAGGCGCGAAAGCGUGGGGAGCAAACGGG
rnacentral:rRNA from 1 species